GACGAACGCUGGCGGCGUGCUUAACACAUGCAAGUCGAACGCUGAAGCUCAGCUUGCUGGGUGGAUGAGUGGCGAACGGGUGAGUAACACGUGAGUAACCUGCCCUCUUCUUUGGGAUAACGCCCGGAAACGGGUGCUAAUACUGGAUAUUCACUGAUUCUCGCAUGGGGGUUGGUGGAAAGGUUUUUUCUGGUGGGGGAUGGGCUCGCGGCCUAUCAGCUUGUUGGUGGGGUGAUGGCCUACCAAGGCUUUGACGGGUAGCCGGCCUGGGAGGGUGACCGGUCACAUUGGGACUGAGAUACGGCCCAGACUUCUACGGGAGGCAGCAGUGGGGAAUAGUGCACAAUGGGCGAAAGCCUGAUGCAGCGGCGCCGCGUGAGGGAUGGAGGCCUUCGGGGUGUAAACCUCUUUCGCUCAUGGUCAAGCCGCAGCUUGGGGUUGUGGUGAGGGUAGUGGGUAAAGAAGCGCCGGCUAACUACGUG
rnacentral:rRNA from 1 species